rnacentral:rRNA from 1 species
CUUACCUGGUCUUGACAUCCACAGAACUUUCCAGAGAUGGAUUGGUGCCUUCGGGAACUGUGAGACAGGUGCUGCAUGGCUGUCGUCAGCUCGUGUUGUGAAAUGUUGGGUUAAGUCCCGCAACGAGCGCAACCCUUAUCCUUUGUUGCCAGCGAUUAGGUCGGGAACUCAAAGGAGACUGCCAGUGAUAAACUGGAGGAAGGUGGGGAUGACGUCAAGUCAUCAUGGCCCUUACGACCAGGGCUACACACGUGCUACAAUGGCGCAUACAAAGAGAAGCGACCUCGCGAGAGCAAGCGGACCUCAUAAAGUGCGUCGUAGUCCGGAUUGGAGUCUGCAACUCGACUCCAUGAAGUCGGAAUCGCUAGUAAUCGUGGAUCAGAAUGCCACGGUGAAUACGUUCCCGGGCCUUGUACACACCGCCCGUCACACCAUGGGAGUGGGUUGCAAAAGAAGUAGGUAGCUUAACCUUCGGGAGGGCGCUUACCACUUUGUGAUUCAUGACUGGGGUGAAGUCGUAACAAGGUAACCGUAGGGGAACCUGCGGUUGGA